rnacentral:lncRNA from 1 species
CUUGCACACACACACUAGAUGACUGACGCCCUCUUACCCUCCCUCCGUCUCUCACCCUCAUUUUCUCUCUCUCUCCAAGCUCUCUCCGCUACACCACCAAUACUUUUUUCCCUGGCUGUGGUGUGUUUGUGCUUUAGCGAGUGUACAACGAAACCAGUUCUGUGCUGAUCCAGCGUGUGCUAUCCCAUACACAGAGCCAGGAGCAGCGUACCGCUUGCCAACAUCCUGCUUCCACUCUGCUGCCUUUUCUGCUUUCAUUUCCCACUGUCUGCUUUUCCACCAGACCUUUUCUUUCUUUAACCCUCUGCUCUCUUCCAAGAAUGAUCUAGGAAGAGGGGAAAGAAAUAAGAGAAAGGUGUCUGUGUGAAGGGGAGAUGAGGAGACAGAAAAGGAGAGAGAGAGGGGAGAGGACUAGAGAGAAGACUGGGGUUAGGCUGCAACACGAGAGGCAAAGCAACGAGGAGAGGGAGAAAGAAGAGAGCAACAAGGAUCGAGGGAUGAUCGAGGUGGAAUCGGGCAAAAACGCAGGAAAAGGGGGGAAAAAAUUGCCAGACUCAUCCGACCUCUGCUGUGUGGGGACCGGACCCAUCACCUGACUGCCCUCUCCUGUCUUCCUGGUCUUCAGCAGAACAGCCAUGAGACACACACACACCAGCACAGAGCCCACAGACUGCAAAGAGGGGGCUGGGCGGGUAGAGUUGGACAUUUUGGAAAAUUGCAUCCAGUGACUUCUCGCUAAGAUGGAUGCAAAGGCUUCUCUCUUCACCCUUCCACAUCCUCCUUUAACCCUACACGACCAUCAUGUCCUGUGUCCCCAUCUCACCCAGUGAGUGAGAGCACAGCUCCUGUCCUUCAUUUGAACCACUGUCAGACUAACAAAGACAAAAUCUACCUGUAAUUGCUAGUGAAGACAGGGAGACAGUGGCUCAACCAGUAGGAGUUAGAAGAGAGAAAAGGGAGAAUUGCUCUUUAAGUCCUCGUAAGCAGAUGUAGCCAUUCUUGGCCCGUAGCUGGUUGCCCCUGCAACAUAGAGUUGUUAAAUUGCAGAGCAGUCCCACACAAUCAGGCUGGAGAUUGUCAAGUGUUAC